rnacentral:rRNA from 1 species
UGGGGAAUAUUGCACAAUGGGCGCAAGCCUGAUGCAGCCAUGCCGCGUGUAUGAAGAAGGCCUUCGGGUUGUAAAGUACUUUCAGUCGGGAGGAAGGUGGUAAGGUUAAUAACCUUAUCAAUUGACGUUACCGACAGAAGAAGCACCGGCUAACUCCGUGCCAGCAGCCGCGGUAAUACGGAGGGUGCAAGCGUUAAUCGGAAUUACUGGGCGUAAAGCGCACGCAGGCGGUUGAUUGAGUCAGAUGUGAAAUCCCCGGGCUUAACCUGGGAAUUGCAUCUGAUACUGGUCAGCUAGAGUCUUGUAGAGGGGGGUAGAAUUCCAUGUGUAGCGGUGAAAUGCGUAGAGAUGUGGAGGAAUACCGGUAGCGAAGGCGGCCCCCUGGACAAAGACUGACGCUCAGGUGCGAAAGCGUGGGGAGCAAACAGG